rnacentral:rRNA from 1 species
GCUCAGGAUGAACGCUGGCGGCGUGCUUAACACAUGCAAGUCGAACGAUGAUCCGGUGCUUGCAUCGGGGAUUAGUGGCGAACGGGUGAGUAACACGUGAGUAACCUGCCCUUGACUCUGGGAUAAGCCUGGGAAACUGGGUNUAAUACCGGAUAUGACUCCUCAUCGCAUGGUGGGGGGUGGAAAGCUUUUGUGGUUUUGGAUGGACUCGCGGCCUAUCAGCUUGUUGGUGAGGUAAUGGCUCACCAAGGCGACGACGGGUAGCCGGCCUGAGAGGGUGACCGGCCACACUGGGACUGAGACACGGCCCAGACUCCUACGGGAGGCAGCAGUGGGGAAUAUUGCACAAUGGGCGCAAGCCUGAUGCAGCGACGCCGCGUGAGGGAUGACGGCCUUCGGGUUGUAAACCUCUUUCAGUAGGGAAGAAGCGAAAGUGACGGUACCUGCAGAAGAAGCGCCGGCUAACUACGUGCCAGCAGCCGCGGUAAUACGUAGGGCGCAAGCGUUAUCCGGAAUUAUUGGGCGUAAAGAGCUCGUAGGCGGUUUGUCGCGUCUGCCGUGAAAGUCCGGGGCUCAACUCCGGAUCUGCGGUGGGUACGGGCAGGCUAGAGUGAUGUAGGGGAGACUGGAAUUCCUGGUGUAGCGGUGAAAUGCGCAGAUAUCAGGAGGAACACCGAUGGCGAAGGCAGGUCUCUGGGCAUUAACU